rnacentral:rRNA from 1 species
GGGGAUAAGCGGAAGAAAUUCCGUCUAAUACCGCGUAAUAACUCCGAGAGGCAUCUCCUGGGGUUUAAAGGGUAACACCGGCUACGGAUGGCCAUGCGGCGCAUUAGCUAGUUGGCGGGGUAACGGCCCACCAAGGCGACGAUGCGUAGGGGUUCUGAGAGGAAGGUCCCCCACACUGGUACUGAGACACGGACCAGACCCCUACGGGAGGCAGCAGUGAGGAAUAUUGGUCAAUGGGCGCGAGCCUGAACCAGCCAAGUCGCGUGAGGGAAGACGGUCCUAUGGAUUGUAAACCUCUUUCGUCGGGGAGCAAAAGACGCCACGCGUGGCGUUCCGAGAGUACCCGAAGAAAAAGCAUCGGCUAACUCCGUGCCAGCAGCCGCGGUAAUACGGAGGAUGCGAGCGUUAUCCGGAUUUAUUGGGUUUAAAGGGUGCGCAGGCGGAAGAUCAAGUCAGCGGUAAAAUUGAGAGGCUCAACCUCUUCGAGCCGUUGAAACUGGUUUUCUUGAGUGAGCGAGAAGUAUGCGGAAUGCGUGGUGUAGCGGUGAAAUGCAUAGAUAUCACGCAGAACUCCGAUUGCGAAGGCAGCAUACCGGCGCUCAACUGACGCUCAUGCACGAAAGUGUGGGUAUCGAACAGGAUUAGAUACCCUGGUAGUCCACACAGUAAACGAUGAA